rnacentral:rRNA from 1 species
UCUACGGGAGGCAGCAGUGGGGAAUAUUGGACAAUGGGGGGAACCCUGAUCCAGCGACGCCGCGUGAGUGAAGAAGUAUUUCGGUAUGUAAAGCUCUAUCAGCAGGGAAGAAAGAAAUGACGGUACCUGACUAAGAAGCCCCGGCUAACUACGUGCCAGCAGCCGCGGUAAUACGGAGGGUGCGAGCGUUCAUCGGAAUGACUGGGCGUAAAGCGCUCGUAGGCGUUAUGUCAAGUCAAGAGGGAACUCCCCGCGCUCAACGUGGGAACUGCCUUUGAAACUGGCAAACUGGAGUGUGUGAGAGGAGAGUGGAAUGCCAGGUGUAGGAGUGAAAGCCGUAGAUAGCUGGAGGAACAUCAGUGGCGAAGGCGACUAUCUGGCACAUAACUGACGCUGAGGAGCGAAAGCGUGGGUAGCAAACAGGAUUAGAUACCCCUGUAGUC